ensembl:lncRNA
CCCGCCCGUGCCCACAGGCAGUGGCCGGGCCCCAAGUUAACGCCUGCACGGCGCCGGCGCAGGGCGCUGGGCCUGGGGGACGACACGCGCCCCGCACACGGCCGACACUGCCGCCUGGGCCGGCGGAGGGCUCGGGGAGCCCAGGCUGAGAGCUGCGCCCUGAGCUCGCGCUGCAGGUGUGGCGGACGCCACGGGCCCAGCGACUCCGCCUGGCGCCCACCCCUCCAGCGCCUGGCGCCUCCAGUCCCUCCUGCUCCGCCUCCCUGCGCGGCUCGGGGUUCGCACAGUGGAAACGGCCUCGGGGCGGAGGGGCCUUGGAGGAACCCGGGCGGGACGGACUGCGUGGACCUGCUGGCCACCCCCCGGCCCGCUCCCUCGAAGCCGGGCUCCGGCACGCAGUACCGUUGCCUUGGAAACCGCGGCUGGCCUGCAAGGGCAAAACAGUGGGGUUGGCGGGAAGCCGGAAACUGGAAUUUUCCAGGCCCUGCAGGUUGACGUGUGUGCACUCGGGAUUCACCCCCUGAAGGGCUCGUGCAGGAGAGAGAGGGGAAAGCUGACCUCUGAUUACCGGUCUCUGCGAUGCCAACUCUGAUCCUGUCUGUGACUUACUCCAAAUUUUUCUUCACCAUAAUCGCCUGUGUGUGUGCCGUACUGGGGGUUGACCCCAGGGCCUCCCACGUGCUAGGCAAAUGCGCUGCCGCUUCAAGCUGCAACCCUCCUACCGUCCUGCCUCUCUUCAGGGCACAGAAUCACUGGUAGAAGUGCAAGAGCCCCGCGCCCCCAGUCAGCCCACCCCGGCUUUCUCCCACCAACGUGCUGUUUGGGGCCCAGUGUGCCCCAGGAGGUCCCCUUCUCCUGCGCCACCAAAUAAAUCUCUGAGUUCCCCAAAGCUCAGAAUCCCAAGCAUCACAGCCGGUGCCCAGAGUCAAACCUGCAGAUAAAAGCAGCGAUGUCCCCUCUGCCAGGGCUCCGCCUCCUCUUUGCAAUCAUCACCAUGACACCAGAAAACGAUCCUGGUGCCGUUCAGGAAAAGGAUCGCCCUCCCUCCCUGUCCUGUCCUCCCUCCCUCCCGAGGGUGGCCCAGCGGAGGGUGUCUGGGGUGCUGUGGAGGCCGCAGCACCUGCCCACGGCAGCAAUGCUGGGAGGAGGACCAGCCGCAAAGGGGCAGGUGCUGCGGCCCGGUCCUCUGGGAUCAAGUACUGGCCUCCGAGCCCGCGUGCUCACCUCAGCCCGGGCAGCGUGGAGCCCCGCCCACCAGCCUGAGUCCCCUGGGCCUGAAGCUGCCCCAGGCAGGGGCCCUUCCACAGUCAUCAGGGACGUGCUCGCCUCGUCCAUGUCCCCGCUGUGGCCAGAGGCCUCACCACAGCCCAGUCCACUCCGGCCACAGUCAGGAUCGACCUUCCUGAUCCGCCCGUGUGGUCCCGUCCGUGAGAAGCAGGCUGCAGGCCAUGCUGCCUGUGAAGAGCCUCACCGAGUCCCCUGCUGGGCGCUCCACAGGCCCACAGUCCUGCUGGUCUGGCCUGGCUAAGUAGUCAGUUAGGGCACCCGACACACCCACUCCUGCCAGCAUCCUGCAUCUGUCCUCAGUGGUGCGUCCCGUGAAAGGAGCACAGCCCGGCAGUCAGCGCGGGACCCACUGGUGAAGUGAAGGCUGUGGGGCUGAGUCAGGCCCCACAGGUGGGCGUGGCCUUGGCACAGCAGUGCUGCUGAAACUCCCGGUCCGGGACUGGAUGGACGCGUCCUCAGAACAGAGAGCCACGCUGGGCUGUCCGAGGAGGUGCACGCUGCUGGCUAGUGCACAGUGUCCUGCAGGACCCUUAUCUCUAGUCUGCCCAUCCUCCUCACCCUCCUGGUCCUGCACAGUAUCACAAGCCAAGUCGGCACCUGGCGAGUCUACAAGGUGGGCUCUGGUUUCCACUUCUUAGACCGCAGACUCCAGAGUUUUAUUUUUGUUUACUUGUUUUUGUUGACUCCAGAGUUUUAUGUAGGAGUUGUCAACCCCAGCAGCAAGCAGCUUGCUAUGGGGGCGAUUUCUGCAGUGUGUGGCAGAUGGGGUGCCCUUGAUGCACCUGAUGCUCCCCUGUAAGACCUCGGGGCAGCCUCUUUCUGCAGAAUGGGGCUGGGCACGUGGGGGCUCCAGGCCUCUGCUGUCACUUGGGAGGAGCCAGCUCUGGCAUCAAGCAGGUGGUCUGUUCUCAGCAGGCUGCACAUCCAGUGGAAGUGGAAGUGAUAGAGAAAAUUUGAACUAUAGGUUAGUUAUUAAGGUAGCUGAAGUAGAAUAAGUAAUACAUUCCUUUAAGAUUUACCUUUCCCGUAACUCAUAUUGUUUAAGGUGAUGGCUAACUGAACCUUUGACCUGUACCCUAGCUGUAGAUAACAUUUAACCUGGAGAAAAGAAAGUAGAAAUGUUUGGGUAGUUUACAAUGUAUGUGUUUUAGGUGCCAUCUGUUUGAUAUAUGUCAGUGACUAUAACCAUUAACAGGAACUAGUUGUAAAAGGGAAACAGAAAUUUUACUGACUAAGACCACUAGGAAUGAGGUAAAGGCUAAAAGAAGAUAUAAAAGGAAAUGUUAAAGCAAAGGACGGGGCAGGCAUUGACCAGACGAGUUUCUGGCGGUCCUGCCCGCUUGCAAGUAAAGGCUUUUUUUCUCCCCCAACUUCUGUGUCUCCGUGCAUUUCUUUCCGGGAUUCCAGAACACAAGGUGAGGAUCUUGCACAAGGCAGCAUUGCUGUCACUUUGGAGGUGGUGCAUCAGGUAGUUGUGGCCGUCUUCCUGGAAACCAACCACAUACUCAUCAUCUAGGAAUACGUGAAGCUUGAAGCUGGACUGGCCAUCCAGGGUGGCCUGGGUGUCUGCUGCUGCUCGGCAAG